UACGUAGGGGGCUAGCGUUGUCCGGAAUCAUUGGGCGUAAAGCGCGUGUAGGCGGCCCGGUAAGUCCGCUGUGAAAGUCGGGGGCUCAACCCUCGAAAGCCGGUGGAUACUGUCGGGCUCGAGUACGGAAGAGGCGAGUGGAAUUCCUGGUGUAGCGGUGAAAUGCGCAGAUAUCAGGAGGAACACCGGUGGCGAAGGCGGCUACCUGGACAGAAACUGACGCUGAGGCGCGAAAGCUAGGGGAGCAAACAGG
rnacentral:rRNA from 1 species